UACGAAGGGUGCUAGCGUUGUUCGGAAUCACUGGGCGUAAAGCGCGCGUAGGCGGCGUUUCAAGUCAGGGGUGAAAUCCUUGGGCUCAACCCAAGAAUUGCCUUUGAAACUGUGACGCUGGAGUGUCGGAGGGGAUAGCGGAAUUCCUAAUGUAGAGGUGAAAUUCGUAGAUAUUAGGAGGAACACCGGUGGCGAAGGCGGCUAUCUGGACGACAACUGACGCUGAGGCGCGAAAGCACGGGGAUCAAACAGG
rnacentral:rRNA from 1 species